rnacentral:rRNA from 1 species
UCAAAAACAUGUCUUAUUGAUUAUAAUUUUAAGUUUGACCUGCCCCCUGAAAAUUUUAAAUGGCCGCAGUAUUAUGACUGUGCUAAGGUAGCAUAAUCAUUAGUUUCUUAAUUAGAAGCUGGAAUGAAUGGUUGGAUGAAAUAAUAAUUGUCUCUAUUUAAUUUUUUUAAAAAUUUAUUAUUUAGUAAAAAAGCUAAAAUAAUUUUGAAAGACGAGAAGACCCUAUAGAGUUUUAUAUAUAAAUAUUUUAAUUUUAUUAGAAUAUAAAUUUUUAAUUUGAUUAGUAUAUUUGAUUGGGGUGAUUGAAAAAUUUAAUUAACUUUUUAUUUUUAAAAUCAUUGAUUUGUGAAUAAUUGAUCCAUUAAUUAUGAUUAAAAGAUUAAAUUACCUUAGGGAUAACAGCGUAAUAUUUUCAAAGAGUUCAAAUCGAAGAAAAAGAUUGCGACCUCGAUGUUGGAUUAAAAUUAAUUGUUGGUGUAGAAGUUAACAAUAUUAGGUCUGUUCGACCUUUAAAAUUUUACAUGAUCUGA